UAAGGAAUAUUGGUCAAUGGACGCAAGUCUGAACCAGCCAUGCCGCGUGAAGGAUGAAGGUCCUCUGGAUUGUAAACUUCUUUUAUCUGGGACGAAAACGGGAUUUUUAUCUCAAUUGACGGUACCAGAGGAAUAAGCACCGGCUAACUCCGUGCCAGCAGCCGCGGUAAUACGGAGGGUGCGAGCGUUAUCCGGAUUUACUGGGUUUAAAGGGUGCGUAGGUGGGCUUAUAAGUCAGUGGUGAAAUCUCCGAGCUUAACUUGGAAACUGCCGUUGAUACUAUAGGUCUUGAAUUAUCUGGAGGUAAGCGGAAUAUGUCAUGUAGCGGUGAAAUGCUUAGAUAUGACAUAGAACAUCAAUUGCGAAGGCAGCUUACUACAUAUAAAUUGACGCUGAGGCACGAAAGCGUGGGGAUCAAACA
rnacentral:rRNA from 1 species